rnacentral:rRNA from 1 species
GCUAAAGCUAGCCCAAACACAUUCAAACUCAACUAUCAUAUACAAAUAAACCAAAACAUUUAGUUACCCUUAAAAGUAUAGGAGAUAGAAAUUUAACUUGGCGCUAUAGAGAUAGUACCGCAAGGGAAAGAUGAAAGAAAAUUUAAAAGCAUAAAAUAGCAAAGAUUACCCCUUGUACCUUUUGCAUAAUGAGUUAGCUAGACAUAAUCUAACAAAGAGAACUUAAGCUAGAUACCCCGAAACCAGACGAGCUACCUAUGAACAAUCUUUACAGGAUGAACUCGUCUAUGUUGCAAAAUAGUGAGAAGAUUUGUAGGUAGAGGUGAAAUGCCUAACGAGCCUGGUGAUAGCUGGUUACCCGGGAUAGAAUUUUAGUUCAACUUUAAACUUACCUAAAAACCCACAAAUUCCAAUGUAAGUUUAAAAUAUAAUCUAAAAAGGUACAGCUUUUUAGAACUAGGAUACAGCCUUUAUUAGAGAGUAAGCAUUAACAUAACCAUAGUUGGCUUAAAAGCAGCCAUCAAUUAAGAAAGCGUUCAAGCUCAACAAUCAAAACAACUUAAUCCCAAAAACAUAUAUCCAACUCCUAAUAUUAAUACCGGGUCAAUCUAUUUAACAAUAGAAGCAAUAAUGCUAACAUAAGUAACAAGAAAUAUUUCUCCUUGCAUAAGCUUAUAUCAGAACGGAUAACCACUGAUAAUUAACAACAAGAUACAUAUAACCCAACAAUAAAACAAAUAUCAAGCCAAUUGUUAACCCAACACAGGUAUGCAAUUAAGGAAAGAUUAAAAGAAGUAAAAGGAACUCGGCAAACAUAAACCCCGCCUGUUUACCAAAAACAUCACCUCUAGCAUUUCCAGUAUUAGAGGCACUGCCUGCCCGGUGACACUAGUUAAACGGCCGCGGUAUCCUGACCGUGCAAAGGUAGCAUAAUCACUUGUUCUCUAAAUAAGGACUAGUAUGAAUGGCCACACGAGGGUUUCACUGUCUCUUACUUCCAAUCCGUGAAAUUGACCUUCCCGUGAAGAGGCGGGAAUAUAAAAAUAAGACGAGAAGACCCUAUGGAGCUUCAAUUAAUUAAUCCAAGGAGAUCAACAUUCACCGAUAGGAAUAACAAACCUCCACAAUGGAUUAACAAUUUAGGUUGGGGUGACCUCGGAGCAUAAAACAACCUCCGAGCGAUUUAAAUCAAGACUUACCAGUCAAAAGUAUUACAUCACUUAUUGAUCCAAAUAAACAUUUGAUCAACGGAACAAGUUACCCUAGGGAUAACAGCGCAAUCCUAUUUUAGAGUCCAUAUCGACAAUAGGGUUUACGACCUCGAUGUUGGAUCAGGACACCCCGAUGGUGCAGCAGCUAUCAAAGGUUCGUUUGUUCAACGAUUAAAGUCCUACGUGAUCUGAGUUCAGACCGGAGUAAUCCAGGUCGGUUUCUAUCUAUUAAAUAAUUUCUCCCAGUACGAAAGGACAAGAGAAAUGAGGCCCACUUCACUAAAGCGCCUCCAACCUAAUAGAUGAUAUAAUCUUAAUCUAAACAGUUUCACCAUACACUACCCAAGAGUUCGGGUCC